rnacentral:lncRNA from 1 species
AUGGAGACCUCAGAUUUGGUUGAAAUAAAUAGACAAAAUUAAAACCUGCACAAAAAGUUGGUAUCAGAACAAACAAUAUUGACAGUUUAUAUUUCAAGAGUAUUUUUGUCUGAGGAAAUCAAUCAUUCUACAGACAUGACCUCAUUCUGAUCUCUCAGUCCUCAAAGGACUCAUGGUGACGACCAGGGCUGUAAGAUCCACAAGAGUAGAGACAAUUGCUGGCCGUGCUUAUCACUGUGGACCCAAAGCCUGAAGUAGCAUCUGGUUCAUUAAACACAUGAUGAAUAUAUGUUGAAUAACUAAAUGAAUGAAAACACCGUUCUUCAAGCUCCCACUAACACCUUACCACUCUCUACCAUGUCAACUUAUUUUAUUAUAACAAUUGCUCAUCAUUAAACCGUAUGGUCCUGGAAGAAAAAGACUGUUUUUAAGUCUAUAAAGUCAUAUUUAUAUGUGAAAUCAUAAUUACAUCC